rfam:Poecilia formosa, whole genome shotgun sequence.
UGUCCUAUUCAGGUGGGGAUCAGUGGCAAUGCUGUUGUUCUGUAGGUAUUGCACUUGUCCCGGCCUGUAAAGGAAGU